rnacentral:rRNA from 1 species
UACGAAGGGGGCUAGCGUUGUUCGGAAUUACUGGGCGUAAAGCGCACGUAGGCGGAUAUUUAAGUCAGGGGUGAAAUCCCGGGGCUCAACCCCGGAACUGCCUUUGAUACUGGGUAUCUCGAGUCCGAGAGAGGUGAGUGGAAUUCCGAGUGUAGAGGUGAAAUGCGCAGAUAUCAGGAGGAACACCAACGGCGAAGGCAGCACUCUGGGGCCGGUACUGACGCUGAGGAGCGAAAGCGUGGGGAGCAAACAGG